UCCCUGAUGGUGUGUGCGUCAGGUCUACUCGCACGAGUGGACGUCAGAUCGCGCAAGUGGGUAGGUCCCCAAUGCUCGAUCCAGGAGGUGCUAGCUCAUGCUGGCUGGAACUAGGAUGCAAAAGGGUUGACGGAUCCAUGCCGCACAAGCACUGCGCCAUGCUCAGUCCAACCCCGUGGCUUCAGGGUGGCCGAGUUUGUCACGACCAUCAGUUCGGAGACCUGCGUCACUGCUCGUGUCACUACCAUGGCCACCUGCAUCACUGCGUGAUCCGUCAACAGCCUCUUGCACAAGGAAAAGCAACAGGAGUAGAGGCG